rnacentral:ncRNA from 1 species
GGAUAGCUGGAGCCCAUUACGAGUUCUAUCAGGUAAAGCCAAUGAUUAGAGGCAUUGGGGACGCAACGUCCUCGACCUAUUCUCAAACUUUAAAUAGGUAGGAUGGCUCGGCUGCGCCGGUGAGCCGUGCCACGGAAUCGGGUGCUCCAAGUGGGCCAUUUUUGGUAAGCAGAACUGGCGAUGCGGGAUGAACCGGAAGCCGGG